GACGAACGCUGGCGGCGUGCUUAACACAUGCAGGUCGAACGGAAAGGCCCUGCUUUUGUGGGGUGCUCGAGUGGCGAACGGGUGAGUAACACGUGAGUAACCUGCCCUUGACUUUGGGAUAACUUCAGGAAACUGGGGCUAAUACCGGAUAGGAGCUCCUGCUGCAUGGUGGGGGUUGGAAAGUUUCGGCGGUUGGGGAUGGACUCGCGGCUUAUCAGCUUGUUGGUGGGGUAGUGGCUUACCAAGGCUUUGACGGGUAGCCGGCCUGAGAGGGUGACCGGCCACACUGGGACUGAGAUACGGCCCAGACUCCUACGGGAGGCAGCAGUGGGGAAUAUUGCACAAUGGGCGGAAGCCUGAUGCAGCAACGCCGCGUGCGGGAUGACGGCCUUCGGGUUGUAAACCGCUUUCGCCUGUGACGAAGCGUGAGUGACGGUAAUGGGUAAAGAAGCACCGGCUAACUACGUG
rnacentral:rRNA from 1 species